rnacentral:rRNA from 1 species
GGGGGGGGGGGGGGGGGGGGGGGGGGGGGGGGGGGGGGGGGGAGGGACGGGGGGCUGGCGGCUCGGAGGUUGGCGGGGGCCGGGUGAGGCACACGUGGAUCACCUACCUUUAAGCCUGGGAUGACUUCGGGCAACCGGAGCUAGGACCGGCUAAUAUUUUGAACCGCAUGGGUCAAAAGUGAACGCGGCUCUUGCCGACACUUAUAGAUGGAUCCGCGCUGCAUUAGCUAGUUGGUAAGGUAACGGCGUACCAAGGCAACGAUGCAUAGCCGACCUGAGAGGGUGAUCGGCCACACUGGAACUGAGACACGGUCCAGACUCCUACGGGAGGCAGCAGUAGGGAAUCUUCCGCAAUGGGCGAAAGCCUGACGGAGCAACGCCGCGUGAGUGAUGAAGGUCUUCGGAUCGUAAAACUCUGUUAUUAGGGAAGAACAUAUGUGUAAGUAACUGUGCACAUCUUGACGGUACCUAAUCAGAAAGCCACGGCUAACUACGUG